AUUGAACGCUGGCGGCAGGCCUAACACAUGCAAGUCGAGCGGCAGCGGAAGGAAGCUUGCUUCCUUGCCGGCGAGCGGCGGACGGGUGAGUAAGGUAUGGGGAUCUGGCCGAAGGCGGGGGAUAACCACUGGAAGCGGUGGCUAAUACCGCAUAAUCUCUAAGGAGCAAAGUGGGGGACCGUUCAGGCCUCACACCUUCGGAUGAACCCAUAUGAGAUUAGCUAGUAGGUGGGGUAAUGGCUCACCUAGGCGACGAUCUCUAGCUGGUCUGAGAGGAUGAUCAGGCAACCGGGGAGCGAGACACGGCCCAGACUCAUACGGGAGGCAGCAGUGGGGAAUAUUGCACAGUGGGCGCAAGCCUGAUGCAGCCAUGCCGCGGGUAUGAAGAAGGCCUUCGGGUUGUAAAGUACUUUCAGUCGUGAGGAAGGUGUUAAGGUUAAUAACCUUAGCAAUUGACGUUAGCGACAGAAGAAACACCGGCUAACUCCGUGCCAGCCGCCGCGGUAA
rnacentral:rRNA from 1 species